rnacentral:rRNA from 1 species
UGACGUCAAGUCAUCAUGGCCCUUACGACCAGGGCUACACACGUGCUACAAUGGCAUAUACAAAGAGAAGCGACCUCGCGAGAGCAAGCGGACCUCAUAAAGUAUGUCGUAGUCCGGAUUGGAGUCUGCAACUCGACUCCAUGAAGUCGGAAUCGCUAGUAAUCGUAGAUCAGAAUGCUACGGUGAAUACGUUCCCGGGCCUUGUACACACCGCCCGUCACACCAUGGGAGUGGGUUGCAAAAGAAGUAGGUAGCUUAACCUUCGGGAGGGCGCUUACCACUUUGUGAUUCAUGACUGGGGUGAAGUCGUAACAAGGUAACCGUAGGGGAACCUGCGGUUGGAUCACCUCCUUACCUUAAAGAA